AUAUUUUCUUCUCUCUCUUCAUCUUUUUGUGUCUCUCUGGCCACAACAUUACACUUAAUUCACUUCUGCCUAAAGCCUUCUUCACCUCGACACUUCUCCUUUAUCGGGAAACUGCGAUUACGCAUCGAGAUCUUCAUAUCUCAUCGCUCUUCCGCUAAAUUCACAUGUAAAACAUUGUUGCCUUUGUUCAUUAGGUGCUGAAAGAAUCUCCAAGACGCAGCCAAUCGAAAUUGUGAAAGGGUUUAAGGUUCUUGAAGCCAAAAUCUACUGCUCCACAAUCUAUAAGUUCUUCGUGCGAUUCCUUGCUUGAUACCAAUCCUGUCAUAUUACCAAGGGAUAUAUAAUUAUUGAAGCUAUGGCGACUGUCUCCACUAUACAUAAGAUUUUGGAGGUCUCUGAUGUUCAAUCCAGCAAGUUCUUCUCCCAAAAGCUUCCUGCAACCGCAACAGAAGAGGCAAGUCAUUUCAGAUAAAAGAUGAGAGAACAACAAGAAAUACAUAUGGAUACGAUGAGAAUGACAUCAGAGUAGCAAGAAAUACGCGCGAAGGGUGGUUGAAAUUCUCGCACGAAAGGGAGCCAGAGAUGCCUGAUUUUCAUGUUUUAAAUUUAUGUAAUUUAAAAUUUAUGUCAUUUAAAUUUAUGUAAUUUAAUUUAAACUUAAGUAAUUGACUUAUUUAAAUUUGUGUAUUUAAAUUAAAUCAAUAAUCAAAAUUCAAAACUCAAAA